rnacentral:rRNA from 1 species
ACGAACGCUGGCGGCGUGCUUAACACAUGCAAGUCGAACGGAAAGGCCCUGCUUUUGUGGGGUGCUCGAGUGGCGAACGGGUGAGUAACACGUGAGUAACCUGCCCUUGACUUUGGGAUAACUUCAGGAAACUGGGGCUAAUACCGGAUAGGAGCUCCUGCUGCAUGGUGGGGGUUGGAAAGUUUCGGCGGUUGGGGAUGGACUCGCGGCUUAUCAGCUUGUUGGUGGGGUAGUGGCUUACCAAGGCUUUGACGGGUAGCCGGCCUGAGAGGGUGACCGGCCACAUUGGGACUGAGAUACGGCCCAGACUCCUACGGGAGGCAGCAGUGGGGAAUAUUGCACAAUGGGCGGAAGCCUGAUGCAGCAACGCCGCGUGCGGGAUGACGGCCUUCGGGUUGUAAACCGCUUUCGCCUGUGACGAAGCGUGAGUGACGGUAAUGGGUAAAGAAGCACCGGCUAACUGCGCG